rnacentral:rRNA from 1 species
UACGUAGGGGGGCAAGCGUUUGUCCGGAAUCAUUGGGCGUAAAGCGCGUGUAGGCGGCUGAGUAAGUCUGCUCUGAAAGCCCGGGGGCUCAACCCCCGGGAGGCGGGUGGAUACUGCUCAGCUCGAGUCCGGAAGAGGAGUGUGGAAUUCCUGGUGUAGCGGUGAAAUGCGCAGAUAUCGAGGAGGAACACCAAUGGCGAAGGCAGCACUCUGGGACGGGUACUGACGCUGA